rnacentral:misc_RNA from 1 species
UAGAAUNUCUUAUAUGCGAUGCCACGCAAUCAAUCCAACUUUCACCACCGGAUUUCUUGGUUCUCGCAUCGAGGAAGACCGCAGGGAAAUGCGAUACGUAAUGUGAAUNGCAGAAUCCAGUGAAUCAUGGAAUCUUNGAACCCCCCUGGCGCCCCUGGNCAUUCCGAGGGGCCCACCCGUUUGAGUUUCGUGCCAUCCUCACCCUUCUGGGUUUUCUUGAUCAAGAAGGCUNGGAAUCUGGAGGUUUUUGNNGCCCUCCCUUUCGAAGCCAGCUCCUCUUAAACGAAUUAGUGGGUUUGACCUUUGUCGAUCCUCGACGUGAUAAGAUGUUUCUACGUCUUGGGA